rnacentral:rRNA from 1 species
GAUGAACGCUGGCGGCGUGCUUAACACAUGCAAGUCGAACGAAACACCUUAUUUGAUUUUCUUCGGAACUGAAGAUUUGGUGAUUGAGUGGCGGACGGGUGAGUAACGCGUGGGUAACCUGCCCUGUACAGGGGGAUAACAGUCAGAAAUGACUGCUAAUACCGCAUAAGACCACAGCACCGCAUGGUGCAGGGGUAAAAACUCCGGUGGUACAGGAUGGACCCGCGUCUGAUUAGCUGGUUGGUGAGGUAACGGCUCACCAAGGCGACGAUCAGUAGCCGGCUUGAGAGAGUGAACGGCCACAUUGGGACUGAGACACGGCCCAAACUCCUACGGGAGGCAGCAGUGGGGAAUAUUGCACAAUGGGGGAAACCCUGAUGCAGCGACGCCGCGUGAGUGAAGAAGUAUUUCGGUAUGUAAAGCUCUAUCAGCAGGGAAGAAAAUGACGGUACCUGACUAAGAAGCCCCGGCUAACUACGU